GACGAACGCUGGCGGCGUGCCUAAUACAUGCCAGUAGAACGCUGAAGGAGGAGCUUGCUUCUCUGGAUGAGUUGCGAACGGGUGAGUAACGCGUAGGUAACCUGCCUGGUAGCGGGGGAUAACUAUUGGAAACGAUAGCUAAUACCGCAUAAGAGUAGAUGUUGCAUGACAUUUGCUUAAAAGGUGCAAUUGCAUCACUACCAGAUGGUCCUGCGUUGUAUUAGCUAGUUGGUGGGGUAACGGCUCACCAAGGCGACGAUACAUAGCCGACCUGAGAGGGUGAUCGGCCACACUGGGACUGAGACACGGCCCAGACUCCUACGGGAGGCAGCAGUAGGGAAUCUUCGGCAAUGGACGGAAGUCUGACCGAGCAACGCCGCGUGAGUGAAGAAGGUUUUCGGAUCGUAAAGCUCUGUUGUAAGAGAAGAACGAGUGUGAGAGUGGAAAGUUCACACUGUGACGGUAUCUUACCAGAAAGGGACGGCUAACUACGUG
rnacentral:rRNA from 1 species